rnacentral:rRNA from 2 species
CGCCGUAAACGAUGAAUACUAGGUGUUGGCAAGCAAGCUUGUCAGUGCCCAGCAAACGCAAUAAGUAUUCCACCUGGGGAGUACGUUCGCAAGAAUGAAACUCAAAGGAUUGACGGGGACCCGCACAAGCGGUGGAGCAUGUGGUUUAAUUCGAAGCAACGCGAAGAACUUACCAGGCCUUGACAUCCCAUUGACCGUUCCUUAAUCGGAGCUUUCCUUCGGGACAAUGAGACAGGUGGUGCAUGGUUGUCGUCAGCUCGUGUCGUGAGAUGUUGGGUUAAGUCCCGCACGAGCGCAACCCUUACGGACAGUAGCCAGCAGGUAAAGCUGGGCACUCUGUCAGGACUGCAGGGAUAACCUGGAGGAAGGUGGGGAUGACGUCAAAUCAUCAUGCCCCUUAUGGCCUGGGUACACACGUGCUACAAUGGCGUAAACAGAGGGAAGCGACCCCGCGAGGGUGAGCGAAUCCAAAAAUAACGUCUCAGUUCGGAUUGCAGGCUGCAACCCGCCUGCAUGAAGCUGGAAUCGCAGUAAUCGCAGAUCAGCAUGCUGCGGUGAAUACGUUCCCGGGUCUUGUACACACCGCCCG